rnacentral:rRNA from 1 species
GAUGAACGCUAGCUACAGGCUUAACACAUGCAAGUCGAGGGGCAGCAUGGUCUUAGCUUGCUAAGGCCGAUGGCGACCGGCGCACGGGUGAGUAACACGUAUCCAACCUGCCGUCUACUCUUGGACAGCCUUCUGAAAGGAAGAUUAAUACAAGAUGGCAUCAUGAGUCCGCAUGUUCACAUGAUUAAAGGUAUUCCGGUAGACGAUGGGGAUGCGUUCCAUUAGAUAGUAGGCGGGGUAACGGCCCACCUAGUCUUCGAUGGAUAGGGGUUCUGAGAGGAAGGUCCCCCACAUUGGAACUGAGACACGGUCCAAACUCCUACGGGAGGCAGCAGUGAGGAAUAUUGGUCAAUGGGCGAGAGCCUGAACCAGCCAAGUAGCGUGAAGGAUGACUGCCCUAUGGGUUGUAAACUUCUUUUAUAAAGGAAUAAAGUCGGGUAUGGAUACCCGUUUGCAUGUA